rnacentral:rRNA from 1 species
CACGCCCUAAACGAUGUCAACUGGUUGUUGGACGGCUUGCUGUUCAGUAACGAAGCUAACGCGUGAAGUUGACCGCCUGGGGAGUACGGCCGCAAGGUUGAAACUCAAAGGAAUUGACGG